ACUGGAAACGGUGGCUAAUACCGCAUAACGUCGCAAGACCAAAGAGGGGGACCUUCGGGCCUCUUGCCAUCAGAUGUGCCCAGAUGGGAUUAGCUUGUUGGUGAGGUAACGGCUCACCAAGGCGACGAUCCCUAGCUGGUCUGAGAGGAUGACCAGCCACACUGGAACUGAGACACGGUCCAGACUCCUACGGGAGGCAGCAGUGGGGAAUAUUGCACAAUGGGCGCAAGCCUGAUGCAGCCAUGCCGCGUGUAUGAAGAAGGCCUUCGGGUUGUAAAGUACUU
rnacentral:rRNA from 1 species